AUUGAACGCUGGCGGCAGGCCUAACACAUGCAAGUCGAGCGGAUGAAGAGAGCUUGCUCUCUGAUUCAGCGGCGGACGGGUGAGUAAUGCCUAGGAAUCUGCCUGGUAGUGGGGGACAACGUCUCGAAAGGGACGCUAAUACCGCAUACGUCCUACGGGAGAAAGCAGGGGACCUUCGGGCCUUGCGCUAUCAGAUGAGCCUAGGUCGGAUUAGCUAGUUGGUGAGGUAAUGGCUCACCAAGGCGACGAUCCGUAACUGGUCUGAGAGGAUGAUCAGUCCAACUGGAACUGAGACACGGUCCAGACUCCUACGGGAGGCAGCAGUGGGGAAUAUUGGACAAUGGGCGAAAGCCUGAUCCAGCCAUGCCGCGUGUGUGAAGAAGGUCUUCGGAUUGUAAAGCACUUUAAGUUGGGAGGAAGGGCAGUAAAUUAAUACUUUGCUGUUUUGACGUUACCGACAGAAUAAGCACCGGCUAACUCUGUGCCAGCAGCCGCCGCAG
rnacentral:rRNA from 1 species